AUUGAACGCUGGCGGCAGGCCUAACACAUGCAAGUCGAGUGAGCGGCGGACGGGUGAGUAAUGUAUGGGGACUGCCCGAUCGAGGGGGAUAACUACUGGAAACGGUGGCUAAUACCGCAUACUAUCGGAUAACCCAUAUGGGAUUAGCUAGUAGGUGGGGUAAAGGGUCACCUAGGCGACGAUCCCUAGCUGGUCUGAGAGGAUGACCAGCCACACGGAAACUGGGCUACGGUCCAGACUCCUAGGGAGGCAGCGGUGGGGAAUAUUGCACAAUGGGCGCAAGCCUGAUGCAGCCAUGCCGCGUGGAUGCAGAAGGCCUUCGGGGUGUAAAGUACUUUCAGCGAGGAGGCGUUACUCGCAGAAGAAGCACCGGCUAACUCCGUGCCAGCCGCCGCGGUAAUUC
rnacentral:rRNA from 1 species